GACGAACGCUGGCGGCGUGCCUAACACAUGCAAGUCGAGCGAUGAAAUCCCUACGGGGAUGGAUUAGCGGCGGACGGGUGAGUAACACGUGGGCAACCUACCUCAAAGUGGGGGAUAGCCUCCCGAAAGGGAGAUUAAUACCGCAUAACAUUAGUUUUUCACAUGAAGGACUAAUUAAAGGAGUAAUCCGUUUUGAGAUGGGCCCGCGGCGCAUUAGCUAGUUGGUGAGGUAAUGGCUCACCAAGGCGACGAUGCGUAGCCGACCUGAGAGGGUGAGCGGCCACAUUGGAACUGAGACACGGUCCAGACUCCUACGGGAGGCAGCAGUGGGGAAUAUUGCACAAUGGGGGAAACCCUGAUGCAGCAACGCCGCGUGAGUGAUGAAGGUCUUCGGAUUGUAAAGCUCUGUCUUUUGGGACGAUAAUGACGGUACCAAAGGAGGAAGCCACGGCUAACUACGUGCCAGCCGCCGCGGUAACAC
rnacentral:rRNA from 1 species